rnacentral:rRNA from 1 species
UACGGGAGGCAGCAGUGGGGAAUCUUGCGCAAUGGGCGAAAGCCUGACGCAGCAACGCCGCGUGCGGGAAGAAGGCCUUCGGGUUGUAAACCGCUUUCAGAAGGAACGAAACUGACGGUACUUUCAGAAGAAGGUGCGGCCAACUACGUGCCAGCAGCCGCGGUGACACGUAGGCACCAAGCGUUGUCCGGAUUUAUUGGGCGUAAAGAGCUCGUAGGCGGUUCGGUAAGUCGGGUGUGAAAACUUUGGGCUCAACCCAAAGCGUGCACUCGAUACUGCCGUGACUGGAGUUCGGUAGGGGAGCGGGGAAUUCCUAGUGUAGCGGUGAAAUGCGCAGAUAUUAGGAGGAACACCGGUGGCGAAGGCGCCGCUCUGGGCCGAUACUGACGCUGAGGAGCGAAAGCGUGGGCAGCAAACAGGGAUUAGAUACC